rnacentral:rRNA from 1 species
AUUGAACGCUGGCGGCGUGCCUAAUACAUGCAAGUCGAACGGAGUGGCGCACGGGUGAGUAAUGUAUAGCUAAUCUGCCCUACACUAGAGGACAACAGUUGGAAACGACUGCUAAUACUCUAUAGUGUAGGAUGAGGCUAUAUUGUAUCAGCUAGUUGGUGAGGUAAUGGCUCACCAAGGCUAUGACGCAUAACUGGUCUGAGAGGAUGAGCAGUCACACUGGAAGUGAGACACGGUACAGACUCCUACGGGAGGGAGCAGUAGGGAAUAGUGCUCAAUGGGGGAAACCCUGAAGGAGCAACGGCGCGUGGAGGAUGACACUUUUCGGAGCGUGAGCUCCGUUUGAUAGAGAAGCGGUACCUGACGAAUAAGCACCGGCUAACUCCGUGCCAGCAGCCGCGGUAAUUC